ACCGCGAUAACUCAGUUGGUAGAGCAUCCGCCCGGUAAGCAGAGUAUCGUCGGUUCGAUUCCGGCUCGCGGCG
rnacentral:tRNA from 1 species